AGGAUAGUGUUUAUUAGAUACAGAACCAAUACACCAUCUGUUAACAGCAGGUGGUGUAAAAAAGGUGAUUCAUAGUAACCGAACGGAUCGCAUUAUGGUCAUUUUAUAUGGCUGGCGAUAGAUCAUUCAAGUUUCUGACCUAUCAGCUUUCGACGGUAGUGUAUUGGACUACCGUGGCAGUGACGGGUAACGGGGAAUUAGGGUUCGAUUCCGGAGAGGGAGCCUGAGAAACGGCUACCACAUCUAAGGAAGGCAGCAGGCGCGCAAAUUACCCAAUCCUGACUCAGGGAGGUAGUGACAAGAAAUAACAACACUGGAAAUUUUAUUUCUAGUGAUUGGAAUGAUGGGAAUUUAAACCCCUUUCAGAGUAACAAUUGGAGGGCAAGUCUGGUGCCAGCAGCCGCGGUAAUUCCAGCUCCAAUAGCGUAUAUUAAAGUUGUUGCAGUUAAAAAGCUCGUAGUUGGAUGUCUGCUGGAAGCAAUCAGUCCGCCCUAUUUGUAGGGUGUGCACUUGAUGAAUUCUGGCAUCUAUAUCCCAAUAAUAUGAUGGUGUAUACCCUGUGUACACCCAUCUAUAUUGGGAUAAUACCGUUACUUUGAGAAAAUUAGAGUGUUUGAAGCAGGCUAAUUGCCUUGAAUACUGCAGCAUGGAAUAACAAUAUAGGAUUUCGGUUCUAUUUUGUUGGUUUCUAGGACUGAAAUAAUGAUUAAUAGGGACAGUUGGGGGCAUUCGUAUUUAACUGUCAGAGGUGAAAUUCUUAGAUUUGUUAAAGACGAACUACUGCGAAAGCAUUUGCCAAAGAUGUUUUCAUUAAUCAAGAACGAAAGUUAGGGGCUCGAAGACGAUCAGAUACC
rnacentral:rRNA from 1 species